CGUGAAAUUGUUGAAAGGGAAACGAUUGAAGCCAGUCGUACUGACGGGUAAUCAACCUUUAGGGUGCGAUUCUGUGGGUUUUGAGGAGCUUUACGGCCCUCAUGGUCUGUAUAUUUGUGCCAUUUGGGUGUACUUACCUGGCAGUAGGUUAACAUCAAUUUUGAUCGUCAUAAAAUGAUGUGAGGAAUGUAGCUUCGCCUCGGUUGAAGAGUUAUAGCCUCUGGUAGAUGUGAUGAUCGGGAUUGAGGA
rnacentral:rRNA from 1 species